rnacentral:misc_RNA from 1 species
CACCAGAACCAGAAUGCCCAAAAGUAACAGAAAAUGAUAUGGAGGAUACCUUCUGUGAGGAUCCUGAAGAAAUUCCUACAAUCAAGCUGAAUAUUGAAGAGUUCACUCUCAAAAUUUGCAGAACUACAUGCAAGAAAAUAUGGAACUUCAAGAAGGUGAUAUGUCAAAAGCCUUAGUUGCUUUGACAGCAGAAGCAGCUUCUAUUCCUGCGCCCAAGCUUAAGAACGUAAGUCGGCUGCGGACAGAGCACCAAGUAUUCGAACUUCCAGAUUCCCACCCUCUCCUGCAAGGGUUGGAUAAACGAGAACCUGAUGAUCCAUGCUCUUACCUUCUUGCCAUAUGGACACCAGGUGAAACAGCAAAUUCCAUUCAGCCACCUGAAAGU